GUACCUGUAGCGCAAUGGAUCGCGCGUUGAACUUCUCAUUCAAAAAUCAUGGGUUCGAAUGCCACCUGAUAUU